rnacentral:lncRNA from 1 species
CCUCCCCCUCCUUCAACCUACCGAGCUCCCUCGGGGCGCAUGCGCAGUGGCAGCCUCCCAUCUUUCUCCCAGCCAGAGCCAGAGCUAGAGCCUGAGCAGCAGAAGCAGGAGCAGCUGAUGAUGAGGAGAGAGGGGGAGGCUGGGGGACCUUUUAUUUAUAUUGUUAAAGGGACAGAGCGCUAAUUCCGCCCGGGAUUGGUGUGUGGGGGGGUCGGAGCGAGGAGCCUGAGUUUCUCCCCCCACCCCCAGCCCAGCCAGAGGAUCCCAGAGAGACCCUGGGAGAGGAGAGUUUCUUCCCCCCCUUUGGCCGUCAGAGGAGAGAGAAAGAGACCAAAAACCUCUUAGCAGCGCAGCCCCUUCUUCUGCCUCUGCUGCUGCUGCUGCUCGGCCCUGGCUGGAGACCCCUCAGCACACGCACACGGAGGAGCAGCAGCCAGUUCACCAGCCCCCCCCCUCCCCUCCUCCCCCUUUAUUACCCUUUGUGUGUGUCUCCUUCUGCACUGCUCCAGGCCGGGGAAUAAAAGUGGGGUGCAGCCAAGAAACUGAAGGACUAGCUGAAUCUGUAAACCCGGUAAAAGAAAGUUAUUUCUACCAAAUCAUACAUCACUGAAAUCCCUAAGAACUUUGCCAGCCAUUUCAGUGAGUAGAAAAUAUGAUGACAUUACAUAUAUGAAGUAAUAGAGCAAAGCAAGACUGUAUUGUUAAUUAGUCUCAAUUAAUUAGACUGGAUUUAGGGCACAGGACUGUGGUUUACAGGGCUUCCCACAGACCCAUGAGGAGCUGGAUGACUUGACACUGGGGGUCAGAUCUGGCCUCUGGGCCAGGACUUGAGCUCCUCUGGCUUACUGAAGUGGACUCCUGGGUCCAUGUUGAGCUUCACUAAUGUGGUCUGUGGUGCCUGACACGGGUGCGCUGCCAUACACAUACUACACAUUGCAACUAUAGUUUGGAAUCCUGCAAGAACAGAUGUUAUUUAGAGAAAUGUGGAUAGUUAAAAAAAUAAAUAAAUAAGCUAAAUAAAACUACUUGCA